rnacentral:rRNA from 1 species
UACAGAGGUCUCAAGCGUUGUUCGGAUUCAUUGGGCGUAAAGGGUGCGUAGGCGGCGCGGUAAGUCGGGUGUGAAAUCUCGGGAGCUUAACUCCGAAACUGCAUUCGAUACUGCCGUGCUUGAGGACUGGGAGAGGAGAUUGGAAUUCACGGUGUAGCAGUGAAAUGCGUAGAUAUCGUAAGGAAGACCAGUGGCGAAGGCGGGUCUCUGGACAGUUCCUGACGCUGAGGCACGAAGGUCAGGGGGAGCAAACGGG